ensembl:lncRNA
CUGGAAUCGCCCUCUGAAGUCGGCAGUGUCCAACUCCAGGAGCGUGUUUGCACCGUGUCCCUGUGGCCAUCCACAAGCCCCCGGCUCGGCCGGGCGUUUUUUCAGGGCUCUGGAAUGAGUCCUUAUAUAGGAUCCAUUCGAAGCCAUAAGCCUGAUUGCAGGGCGCAGCCAACAUCUGGAGCAGCGGGAGAUGAUCGGACAGCAUUGCGAAACAUAAAAUAUGAAACUUAUUAACUUUUUCCUGUGUUAAAAGUAUUUUAAAUGGAAGCAAUCUGAUAGUGCAUUGAGCAAAACUUUAUCACCCAGAAAAGUUAAGAAAAAGAAGGAGAGUUCAGUCAUUUUAGGGUUUAUUUUAUUUCUUUUUGCCUGAGUUGCACUUUUGCCAAUUUUAGAACAUCAUUACCUUGCAUAAUGGAUUUUGCUUUAAAAGCAUUCUCACACCUGUUUGCCUUUGCAUAAGGACUAAUGUCACGUUGAGCCCAAGAAAAACAAGCCAUAAAUCAAUGUAUUAACGAGCAAGGAAAUUCAAGGUGCGGAGGAGUGACUGUCAUUCCUCAGGUGCAUGGGCACGAUCUUGCAGUCUCCUGGCAGCUCCACCCAUAGGCGUGCCGUGUGCACACGUGAAAGAGCUUUCCUCGGAAUUGCUCUAGCAGCUAAGGAGCAAAAGGAAAUCCUAACCAGAGCUGUGACAUCCCCCCAAGUCUGUAUUUCCCUGUCAUGAUGGCGCUGCUGGAAAGGGGCUGCAAUGCAAGAGACCUAAGGAGAUCUGCCCUCGGAUUGGCCCAGCCACCGCUCCUCCCAUUAUUGAAACCCGAGUCGCAGCCGUAAAUAUCCUCAAGUCAAUCUCUAAGUAUAAAAACAUCCCAGAAAUGUUGCCUGCGCACAAGCAAUUUCCCCCAAGAAAGGGAAUCUCGUAGAAAGUGGGGGAAGACAAAGGGCCAAUUUGGAAGAGAUACAAAUUGACUAUGAACAUGAUUUCUUUAAUUAAAUGAGAAAGCAUUAAAUCUUCUUUAGGACAAAAAUACCAAAAGUCUAUGUAUUCAGCAAACACAAUGAAUCAGUAAAUAGUUUUUUCAAGCCUUCGAGGUUAGUGAAAUUGACCUACCGUUUUAGCUAAAACAUAUCUUUGGCUUCCUAAUGUUGCACAACCUUUAGAAAGCUUAGAAGGGAAUAUUCCAGCUCUGGGAAGGCCAACGCCUUCCUGACGCCUAAUGUCAAACUUUAAGCCCAUGCAAAUGUGCAUCUGAGUCGAAGAAGAUACCAAGAUCGCAGACCAGGCACAGGCCGGGUGCCAGACGCCCUGCAGAUCCUGUUAGGAGGGUCUGUGUAAAUUAUCUCCUCCACUCCCCAAAGGAACCGUGCCAAAUAUGUCUGACAGUGUCCAUUUUACAGAUGCAGAAAUGGAGGCUCAAAGAGGCCAAGUAAUUUGCCCAAGAUGACAGGGACAGGAAGCAGCACAGAUGCAAUUCUAACCCAAGUCCUUAACUCCAACCACUACCACAACGGUCUUCCUCAAAAUAGUAAGGAACUACACAUUCAUGGCAAAUUGCUUUUUUAUUCAUGAAAUAAAUUGCCAUUAUUAUGUUCACCUUUUGGAAAAAAGUUAAGAACAAGAGACUCAAACAUCGACAUUUUCUGCUCCUAUGUUGAAUGGCCAGGAACUAUGUAAAUGAGAGGGCUGGGCCACCCUGGUUUUAUUAUCAUGUUUACCACCUGCUGCCGCGUACAGAGCGCUCUGCCCUACGUCUUAGCGUGGAUUGCUAGAAGAAUCCUUUCAAGUUGUAUACAGCAGGUAUGAGUCAUUUUCUCAUUUUGCAAAUGAGGAAACUUCGGUUUAGACAAAUUAAAUGACUCACCUAAGAUCAGGCAGUAGGAAUCUAAACCUAGAGCACCAUACUUGAAACAAUGAUUUUUAAAGAAAAUUAAACCUUGAGGACGCGACUCCCAAAGUCGUCUCAGUUACGUCCAUUAUAAAAGUCUAUUCAUAAAUUCACGUUUUCUAAGGAUUUUUGGAAAAUUUGUGGGGAAAAUUCUCAUCUGAUGCUUCCGUCCCACAAAAGAAUUAUUUUUACAUAAUCAUUUAUCCUUUAAAAGGGAAACAUUCAUACUAUUGACGGACUUAAGGUGUGAAGACCUGGCCACAAGCCACAGUUAACCGAAGGACGAUUCCUCCCGCAGGACUGUGCAGGCUCCGAGGGGUUCUGUCAUUUCUGUCAUCCCUGAGUGGGCUUCUCAAUAGCACGUGGGAUAAAUAACCUUUCCUGCAGAAGAAGGUGGGUUCACAGGGAUAUUCAGCUGCGUCACUGACACCAGUUGAUUCAUUUUAAGUCAAGAAGCAUCUGCUGGUCUUCCCCUGCCAGCGUGGUGUGAGGCAUCCUUCAUCCUGGUUGCACCUGCCAUGUGCAGGCUCUUUGGGACUCUGGAGCACACUUAUCCUGGCUCAGGGGGUGGGAGAUGGCAUGUCCAGGUGGCAGGUGGGAGCUGGAGUCCAGGCGGGACAAUGGGACCCAGGCUGUCCAACAGGAGAACUAGCCUGUGGCCAUGUGGGCAAUGUGGGGCCGGUGGGUGCAGGGCAAUGCUGUGUUAGUCUGCUCCAGCUGCCAUGACAAAUGCCACGGAUGGGAGACCUGAACAACAGACACUGAUUUCUCACAAUUCUAGGGGAUGGAAGCCCAAGGUCACGGUGUUGGCUGGUUUGGUUUCUGGCGAAGCCUCUUCCCUCUGUUUGUUGACGCCGCCUUCUCCCCGUGUCCUCAUGUGGCCUUCCUGCUGUGCGUGCAAGUGGAAAGGGAAAGAGAGAGCUCUGGGGUCGCCUCCUCCUCUUCUCAGGACACCAGUCUGACCAGAUCAGGGCCCCACCCUUAUGACUUCAUUUAAGCUUAAUCACCUCCCUGAAGGCCCCACCUCCAAAUGCAGCCACAGUGGGGGGUUAGGGCUUCAACAUGGGAAUUUCAGGGGGGCACAGCAUUCAGGCCAGAGCAAAUUGCAUCCAGAACCCGCACCAUUCCUUACUCACUUAGUGGACAGGGCUCUGGCCCUACCAAGGGCACUGGCUGGGGCUAGGUGGACACUAAUCCAGGCCUGUUCUAGAAAGACUCCACCCCACGGGGGAAACGGCCCCAAGCUGGGCCUAGACGGAGGCUGUCCCCGUAGUCUGCCGGGCAGGGGCACCACGUUCCAGGGUUUGUCCUUCCAGAAACUUGAUUGUGGCUCUGUCAGAUGUGCCAAGCCUACCCCAAACCAACCAGACCCACUGACAUAUUAACAUACGGGCAACACAUAUUUAUGGAACAUAUCCACUUGCCAGGUGUCGCUCUAGGAAAAUGGAAGUGCACAGAACCGACAAAAUUCCCUAUUACCGGAGCAUAUUACAUCCCAGACAGAGAACGUGAUUAUCCCAUGUCGGCGAUGCUCAGGUUUACACCCGCUGGACUCUCUCCCCUGGAAGGGCCCUGGGACGGGGGGGGGGGUUAAGAAUCAGCUGGGUCUUGUUGCCCCAAUUCAGAGAAAAGAGUAGCACUAAGUAGUCUGGGAGGGAAUUUCCAGGGAGAAUCAGGAUGGAGCCCACCUCCUCACUGACCAGACGCUCUUGUCUCUCUCUAUUUACCAGUCUCGGGGCAGUCAAGCCUCCCUGGGCUGGACCCUUGUCACUCGGCUUGUGUUUGCACAUUUCUCAAAUGUCCUCAGCACACACGAACCACGUACAGGGCGGAUCACUUCUACAGACCCGCUAUAUGCCCAUCUGUGAACUUGUCUCACUGCCGGAAACUAACCGAAUACCACGCCUGGUUAGAUGGCCAGCAUCCUCUGAUGCUCUGCCUGGAAGGGGCGCGCAGGUGUCAGGAACAAACAAGGGCCGUAACUCGAAUCUGGGUCAUUUGUGCAGGGCUGGACUAGAGCAGGGGGGUAGGCGCUGACCCCAGAGGGUGGCACUGUCUCAAGCUAGAGCUGGCCUUUGCUCCAGGAUGAGACGGAGCCUGCUGGGGUUCGGCAGCCCCUGCCUGAGAUGACAUUCAUGAUGUCACCAAG